GACGAACGCUGGCGGCGUGCUUAACACAUGCAAGUCGAACGGAAAGGCCCCAGCUUGCUGGGGUACUCGAGUGGCGAACGGGUGAGUAACACGUGGGUGAUCUGCCCUGCACUUCGGGAUAAGCCUGGGAAACUGGGUCUAAUACCGGAUAGGACCAUCGUUUAGUGUCGGUGGUGGAAAGUUUUUCGGUGCAGGAUGAGCCCGCGGCCUAUCAGCUUGUUGGUGGGGUAAUGGCCUACCAAGGCGUCGACGGGUAGCCGGCCUGAGAGGGUGGACGGCCACAUUGGGACUGAGACACGGCCCAGACGCCUACGGGAGGCAGCAGUGGGGAAUAUUGCACAAUGGGCGCAAGCCUGAUGCAGCGACGCCGCGUGGGGGAUGACGGCCUUCGGGUUGUAAACUCCUUUCAACCAUGACGAAGCUUUUGUGACGGUAGUGGUAGAAGAAGCACCGGCUAACUACGUGCCAGCCGCCGCUGUAA
rnacentral:rRNA from 1 species